UACGGAGGGGGCUAGCGUUGUUCGGAAUUACUGGGCGUAAAGCGCACGUAGGCGGCUUUGUAAGUUAGAGGUGAAAGCCCAGGGCUUAACCCUGGAAUUGCCUUUAAGACUGCAUCGCUAGAAUCGUGGAGAGGUGAGUGGAAUUCCGAGUGUAGAGGUGAAAUUCGUAGAUAUUCGGAAGAACACCAGUGGCGAAGGCGGCUAACUGGCCCAUUACUGACGCUGAGGCUCGAAAGCGUGGGGAGCAAACAGG
rnacentral:rRNA from 1 species